GAAGUGUAUUAAAUAGACUGGUUUGGGGUGGUAAUUCCCAAUUAUCCUGAGUCUCCUAUGUCUCCGCUGGUUCUGCCCAGCUCCUGUUCUCCUGUGUUCCCUCCCAGCCUUCAUCUCCCACCUCCUCUCCUAGAACCAGCCAGUUCCUCAGCCAUGCCUCCACUGGUUUCUGUCAGUCCCUCAGCUCACUCUCAGUCAGCACCAUCCGGUUGCUCUGAUUCUGCUUGGGCCUUCCAGUCUCCAGCUCUGCCUUGGCAUGAGGAUCCCUUAUCUCUGCCUCCAGGCUUUGUGUCCCGGUCUCCACCUCAGUCCUCUGACCCAUUGACUACUCUUGGCAUCUUGCUCCCUCGUCUCUACUGUGGCCCAUCAUACCACUGGCUCCACCUGGCUCCCUCAUUCCUCUGGCUCCACCUUGGUCAGUCGUUGACUUUCCUCCGCUACGGGAUUCCACUCCUCUGGAUUCACCUCAUCCCCCUGGCUCCACUGUUGUCCUUAGCCACUUCAGCUUCUCCACAGUCUCCGCCUUGCUCACUUGGCCCUCUGGACCUCGGGUGUCACCCUGGCUCUCCGUCUGCUCUGCUCCACCUUGGUCUACACCUCCAGAGGCUCCAUCUCCAUCGCUCAUCCCCAGGGUAUCAUCUGCCAUGUUUCCACCAUGGCUCCUCCCUCCCUCAACUCAGCCCUGGGGCCUCAUCCUGGCUGGUCUCUGGACCAACACCUGUCUCCUCCUGCUCCUGGCCUCCCCCUGGCUAUGACCACCCUCCACUCCCCCCAUGGACUAAUAUAUUAGACUUGUUUUGUUUUGCCCCUCUUCAGUUCCUCACCCUCCUCCAGAACCCCCACCUGUCCUCCCUCCCUUCCUCCUUCCUCAGAUGGACUAUAUGUGAUGCGAGGACGCGCCUGCCCAGGAGAGGGGCGAACUGUAACGUGGCUGUUGAUUUCUGUGUUAAUUUUCCUUUGACCUUAGUUGUCUUAAUUAUGUCAUUCUGUUCACCUGUGUUUUAAUUAUCUCGUUAUUCCCAGUGUUUAAAUACCUUUUGUUUCUUCUAGUCUCGGUCCAUCUGGGUUUUCAUUUAUAUUUGAUUGUGUUUUACUAGUUCUC
ensembl:lncRNA